AUCAUACAUUACGGCUUUGUUGGCAUAUCGCCCGACUGAAUCGUUUAUUACGAAAUAGCAUUAAUGCAUGUCCACACUCAUUGUUUUGACCUUGAGAAUAUGUAUUUAAUGUAACUUAUAAAUCUACUGAGUCGCUUAUUUCUGUAAACAAAUAUUGUUUAUAUUUAUUUAAAAGAAUAAUUCGUGACUGCUUUCAAAAUAUUGACUGAGUCACUACUAAUAAAUAGUACCUUGAAAAAGCGUGUGUCUUUAUUCAGUAUAUAUAGCAUGUAUAGUGAAUGAAAGAAAGUCUGAGACUUAAGCGUUUGCUUUAUAUUUUUAUCGAGUGUACUGUGUACCUCGGGAGUCAAUUCACGACUCAAGAAACACAAUAAUGUGUCCUCUAUUUAUACUAAGUAGCAACGCACCUGCUAAUGACGUCACAAUUGUCAUUUACGACAUUGAGACGGUUUACGGCAAGUAAACAAUGGUGGACGACGUUACGUUUGUGCUUUUGGCCAACAUGAAUAUUGAAUGCUACGAUUAAACUAUAAGAUCUUUGCCUCGGACCAAUGGACCAAAUGAAAAUGCCUCAUUCAAACAUCGUUAUUUACAACCAUCCAGUAGAUAUUAAAUAGGAAGAAUUAUUCAAAAUGUAAGUAAAACGACGACUCAAGCCUUAAAAUGCAAUGUAAUAUUGACGUUUUCCU
rnacentral:lncRNA from 1 species